rnacentral:misc_RNA from 1 species
UCGAGUUAGGGUCUCUGGCCCGACCUCCAACCCUGUGUCUACUCAAACCAUGUUGCUUCGGCGGGCCGUCCUCCCUCGGGGAGGCGCUGGGGGGGCCUCUGUGGUCCUCUAGAGCGUGCCUGUCGGUGGCCUACCAAACUCUUGAUGAAUUGUGUCGUCUGAGUAUUGAAUACAAAUAAGCA